UACAGAGGUCCCAAGCGUUGUUCGGAUUCACUGGGCGUAAAGGGUGCGUAGGUGGUCGGGUAAGUCUGAGGUGAAAUCUCCGAGCUCAACUCGGAAACUGCCUUGGAUACUAUCCGGCUUGAGGGUUGGAGGGGGGACUGGAAUUCUCGGUGUAGCAGUGAAAUGCGUAGAUAUCGAGAGGAACACCAGUGGCGAAGGCGGCAUCCUGGACCGGUAUUGACGCUGAGGCGCGAAAGCCAGGGGAGCAAACGGG
rnacentral:rRNA from 1 species